UACGAAGGUCCCAAGCGUUAUCCGGAUUUAUUGGGUUUAAAGGGUGCGUAGGCGGAUUGUUAAGUCAGUGGUGAAAGCUCCCGGCUCAACCGGGAAAUUGCCAUUGAUACUGACGAUCUUGAGUGUGGUUGAGGUGGGCGGAAUGUGUCAUGUAGCGGUGAAAUGCUUAGAUAUGACACAGAACACCGAUUGCGAAGGCAGCUCACUAAGCCACAACUGACGCUGAUGCACGAAAGCGUGGGGAGCAAACAGGAUUAGAUACCCUGGUAGUCCACGCCCUAAACGAUGAUCACUCGAUGUGUGCGAUAUACAGUACGCGUCUGAGCGAAAGCAUUAAGUGAUCCACCUGGGGAGUACGACCGCAAGGUUGAA
rnacentral:rRNA from 1 species